rnacentral:rRNA from 1 species
CCAGACUCCUACGGGAGGCAGCAGUGGGGAAUAUUGCACAAUGGGGGAAACCCUGAUGCAGCGACGCCGCGUGAGUGAAGAAGUAUUUCGGUAUGUAAAGCUCUAUCAGCAGGGAAGAAAAUGACGGUACCUGAGUAAGAAGCCCCGGCUAACUACGUGCCAGCAGCCGCGGUAAUACGUAGGGGGCGAGCGUUAUCCGGAUUUACUGGGUGUAAAGGGAGCGUAGACGGUUAAUCAAGUCUGAAGUGAAAGCCCGCGGCUCAACUGCGGAACGGCUUUGGAAACUGAGUAACUGGAGUGCUGGAGGGGCAGGCGGAAUUCCUGGUGUAGCGGUGAAAUGCGUAGAUAUCAGGAGGAACAUCGGUGGCGAAGGCGGCUUGCUGGACGAUGACUGACGUUGAGGCUCGAAAGCGUGGGGAGCAAACAGGAUUAGAUCCCCC